rnacentral:rRNA from 1 species
AACGAACGCUGGCGGCAUGCCUAAUACAUGCAAGUCGAACGAGAAAGUUCUUCGGAACGAGUAGAGUGGCGCACGGGUGAGUAACACGUAGGUGACCUGCCAUGCAGAGGGGGAUAACUCGGAGAAAUUCGGGCUAAUACCGCGUACGCACUAAAACUUUGAAAGGAUUAGUGGAAAGGAUGCCUCUCCUUGGAAGCAUUCACUGUAUGAUGGGCCUGCGGGACAUUAGCUAGUUGGUGGGGUAACGGCCUACCAAGGCAACGAUGUCUAGCCGGUUUGAGAGAACGAUCGGCCACACUGGAACUGAGACACGGUCCAGACUCCUACGGGAGGCAGCAGUAGGGAAUAUUGCGCAAUGGGCGAAAGCCUGACGCAGCAAUGCCGCGUGAGUGAGGAAGGCCUUAGGGUCGUAAAGCUCUUUCGCCAGGGAUGAUAAUGACAGUACCUGGUAAAGAAACCCCGGCUAACUCCG